UAGGGAAUCUUCCACAAUGGACGCAAGUCUGAUGGAGCAACGCCGCGUGAGUGAGGAAGGUUUUCGGAUCGUAAAGCUCUGUUGUUGGUGAAGAAGGAUAGAGGCAGUAACUGGUCUUUAUUUGACGGUAAUCAACCAGAAAGUCACGGCUAACUACGUGCCAGCAGCCGCGGUAAUACGUAGGUGGCAAGCGUUGUCCGGAUUUAUUGGGCGUAAAGCGAGCGCAGGCGGAAUGAUAAGUCUGAUGUGAAAGCCCACGGCUCAACCGUGGAACUGCAUCGGAAACUGUCAUUCUUGAGUGCAGAAGAAGAGAGUGGAAUUCCAUGUGUAGCGGUGGAAUGCGUAGAUAUAUGGAAGAACACCAGUGGCGAAGGCGGCUCUCUGGUCUGCAACUGACGCUGAGGCUCGAAAGCAUGGGUAGCGAACAGG
rnacentral:rRNA from 1 species